AGGGGUGUGGCUCAGUGGCAGAGCACUUGCCUAGCAUGUGUGAGGCGCUGAGUUCGAUCCUCAGCACUACAU
rnacentral:tRNA from 1 species